rnacentral:tRNA from 1 species
GACGCGUUGUCAGAGUGGAAAUGUGAUAGACUGCAAAUCUAUUUACCCUGGUUCAAAUCCAGGACGCGUCU